rnacentral:rRNA from 1 species
UGGGGAAUAUUGCACAAUGGGCGAAAGCCUGAUGCAGCGACGCCGCGUGGGGGAUGACGGCCUUCGGGUUGUAAACCUCUUUCAACAUCGACGAAGGUCCGGGUUUUCUCGGAUUGACGGUAGGUGGAGAAGAAGCACCGGCCAACUACGUGCCAGCAGCCGCGGUAAUACGUAGGGUGCGAGCGUUGUCCGGAAUUACUGGGCGUAAAGAGCUCGUAGGUGGUUUGUCGCGUUGUUCGUGAAAUCUCACGGCGUAACUGUGAGCGUGCGGGCGAUACGGUCAGACUUGAGUACUGCAGGGGAGACUGGAAUUCCUGGUGUAGCGGUGGAAUGCGCAGAUAUCAGGAGGAACACCGGUGGCGAAGGCGUGUCUCUGGGCAGUAACUGACGCUGAGGAGCGAAAGCGUGGG